CGGGCCUCUUGCCAUCGGAUGUGCCCAGAUGGGAUUAGCUUGUUGGUGGGGUAACGGCUCACCAAGGCGACGAUCCCUAGCUGGUCUGAGAGGAUGACCAGCCACACUGGAACUGAGACACGGUCCAGACUCCUACGGGAGGCAGCAUG
rnacentral:rRNA from 1 species